GCACUAGCCUCGAUCCCAGGCCGAGUUUUCGCUUUUAUAACGGUUAGGCAAACAACUGGGCCUGGUACUAGUUGUCUGCGCAUGCGUCAGUCGUUCGUCAGAUUCUGACGAAUGGAUAUUCUCGUUCACUUUCGUGACAUUUAUAUUCGUGUACUAUCGUGUACUAGAAGUCAGUUCCCGUUUAAUCAUUAUUGGAAUCGAUUGGAAUGGCUCUUAGCUGAAGCUUCUCUCUUCUCUGAAGCUUAUUCUGAAGACUGAACAACAAGGGAAGAGGUAUAAAGCUUUGUCAAGCUUGUUAAGGUCAGAUAUUUUUGUGUGGGCCCUAUGGCCGGCUAGGCUAUGCUAUCAAGUCUUGUUCAUGUUUGGCAAGAAUGUAGGUAGACUAUAGUUUCAUCAUUAAUAUGGUGGAUCAAGUGAAGAGUGUGAGCUAGAGAACUUGGUGCUGCCAUCAUCAGCUCGUCGACAAUGACACUAUAACCGAGAAAUUUAAUAUGUAUAGAUCUACACGUAUUUAAAAUGUCUACUUCUCUGUACAGGAGCAAUGGCUAAUAUCCAGCUAUCCCAACAGUGCUCCUCUUGGCUAUACUAACGGACAAGACUGGACAGUUUGAGACACAGGACUGGAGUAUGACCUGCUCAUUCGAGCGUUGCUGGGUAGCUCAGAGACAUCAAGAGAAUCUCAAGUAAUGAGUUACGAGUUGGGGCCUAGAAUCAGAGAAGUCCAGCAGCCUGCUAAAUCUUUUUGAAACGUAAUUUGAAGGCAUUCAAUCAUCCUGAAGUUGCCCUGGGUCACUGUAAUUGUGCUGCAGCACAACUGGCAACUCCCCAGGCCUUUGUGAAGCAGCUCCCUAUGUGCAUCUUUUGUGUACUCACUCUGUGCAUUUUCUGUGUACAAAUUUCUAUUAUUGAUUUAUUAAAUAUUUUUGCCGACCACAAA